rnacentral:rRNA from 1 species
UACGGGGGGGGUAAGCGUUGUUCGGAAUUACUGGGCGUAAAGGGCUCGUAGGCGGCCAACUAAGUCUGAUGUGAAAGCCCUCGGCUCAACCGAGGAGGGUCAUUGGAAACUGGAGGACUUGAGUGCAGAAGAGGAAAGUGGAAUUCCAAGUGUAGCGGUGAAAUGCGUAGAGAUUUGGAGGAACACCAGUGGCGAAGGCGACUUUCUGGUCUGUAACUGACGCUGAGGCGCGAAAGCGUGGGGAGCAAACAGG